AGUGAACGCUGGCGGUAGGCCUAACACAUGCAAGUCGAACGGCAGCACAGUAAGAGCUUGCUCUUACGGGUGGCGAGUGGCGGACGGGUGAGGAAUACAUCGGAAUCUACUAUUUCGUGGGGGAUAACGUAGGGAAACUUACGCUAAUACCGCAUACGACCUACGGGUGAAAGCAGGGGAUCUUCGGACCUUGCGCGAUUGAAUGAGCCGAUGUCGGAUUAGCUAGUUGGCGGGGUAAAGGCCCACCAAGGCGACGAUCCGUAGCUGGUCUGAGAGGAUGAUCGGCCACACUGGGACUGAGACACCGUCCAGACUCCUACGGGAGGGCGCAGUGGGGAAUAUUGGACAAUGGGCGCAAGCCUUAUCCAGCCAUACCGCGUGGGUGAAGAAGGCCUUCGGGCUGUAAAGCCCUUUUGUUGGGAAAGAAAAGCAGCAGGUUAAUACCCCGCUGUUCUGACGGUACCCAAAGAAUAAGCACCGGCUAACUUCGUG
rnacentral:rRNA from 1 species